GAUGAACGCUGGCGGCGUGCCUAAUACAUGCAAGUCGAGCGAACGGACGAGAAGCUUGCUUCUCUGAUGUUAGCGGCGGACGGGUGAGUAACACGUAGAUAACCUACCUAUAAGACUGGGAUAACUUCGGAAAACCGGAGCUAAUAACGGAUAAUAUUUUGAACCGCAUGGUUCAAAAGUGAAAGACGGUCUUGCUGUCACAUAUAGAUGGAUCCGCGCUGCAUUAGCUAGUUGGUAAGGUAACGCCCUACCAAGGCAACGAUGCAUAGCCGAGCUGAGAGGGUGAUGAGCCACACGGGAAGUGAGACACGGUCCAGACUCCUACGGAAGGCAGCAGUGGGGAAUUUUACGCGAUGGGCGAAAGCCUGAAGGAGCGAUGCCGAGUGAGUGAUGAAGGUCUUAGGAUCGUAAAACUCUUUUAUUAGGGAAGAACAUAUGUGGAAGAAACUGUCAACGUCUUGACGGUACCUAAUAAAAAAGCCACGGCUAACUACGUG
rnacentral:rRNA from 1 species